GGGUUGUGAGGUUAAGCGACUAAGCGUACACGGUGGAUGCCCUGGCAGUCAGAGGCGAUGAAGGACGUGCUAAUCUGCGAUAAGCGUCGGUAAGGUGAUAUGAACCGUUAUAACCGGCGAU
rnacentral:rRNA from 2 species